rnacentral:lncRNA from 1 species
AGGAGCACGGACAGCGAGGGCCUGGGAAACGCGUGGAACACACGUCCCGGCUCGUUUUCCUCUCCCACUCUGAUAACCUGUGUUUCGAUACGAAACGGGCCCUGCCUCAUUAUUUGUCAUCUCCCUGGAGGUGACGGAGGGCUGUUUCAACCUCAGGGGAAAAGUUGCUGUACAGAACACAGGCCAGAGUGUGCCCCAAAGAAAUCAGGCGGUGGAGUGAUUUAAAAGUGAUCAUUUUCUGUAGUCCUAGCUACUCGGGAGGCUGAGGCAGGAAAAUCGCUUGAACCCGGGAGAAGAAGGAUGCAGUGAGCAGAGAUCAUAAGUUCAACUUGCACUUUGCCAGAGCAGGGGAUCUCCCUCAGCUCCCUGCCUUCAAACCUACCUUACAGACCUGCCUGGCCUGCACCUGAGCCACCCUCUUCUUCCUUCCUAUUCCCACUAAGGAGGUGUCCCUGCUUCCUUCAUAGUGGGUCCUUCCCCUGCACCGGGAAACAGGCCCUAGAGAUGACUCCAUGGGGUGAAGGACCAGAGCCUCCUUGCCUCUCUCUCUGUCUCUCUCUCCCUCUCUUGUCUUCCCAUGAAGCUCUGAUGUUUCCAGUACAAAAUAAACCUCGCUCAGUCCCAGUCCUUCUCCAGUUCCUCCCCUCACAAGCAUGGCCCCCCACUGCUGGCUUUCCUUCCCCACCUUCCACCCUCUCCUUGGCCUUCUCCACUCUGGCUUCAGUGGCCUCCGAUGGCUACACUCAGAGCCUGGGUGCACUGUCCUUUGGAAGCUUCCCUCUGGGGCCGCCUGUCAGCCUCCUCUGAAGACUCACACUCCUCGCUCUCAGACCUUUGGGUGCUGGAGGACUUCGAGGUUUGGCCUGGCUCUCCACUUCUUCCUCUCCUUUCCUCUGAGAUCUGCCUUCUUCCUUCCCUCCCUGCUUCCUUUCUUCAAGCAUAUCUACUGCAUGGAUGCCUUCUAUGUACUAAGCUAGGCAAAUGAAAGUGACAAAUGAAAAUGUGAAGUGCCUACAGGCUAAAAGAAGGAUACAGAGCAAAUAACAUAAUUACAAACUGCAGUGGGUGCUCCUAAGGGAAAGAUCAGGAUGGGUGAACGAGAGUGGGAGGGAAGACCAGACUGGGUGCGCUUGGAGGAAGCAUCUUAUGGGAAGGGCCGUUUGAGCUGAGCCUUCAGGGUCAAGGGGUGCCAGCCCCCAGGGAGCUGGGGAAAGGGCACUUCUGGCAGAGGAGAGAAAGGACUCAUCCAGGGCCUUCGUGGAACAGAAAGAGGGGCAGUGGGCUGGCAUGCACAGGCUCGCUUCAGGUGCAGUAAGACCUGUCACCUCCAGGAGGGCAAGACAUCAUCUGUGGUGCUCAUCGUUGUGUCCCACUUCAUGGAAUAGUGCUGGGAAUAUGGUACACACUCAAGAAAUAUUUGGACAGCUACAGUGGCUCACACCUGUAAUCCCAGCACUCUGGGAGGCUGAGGUGGGUGGAUCACUUGAGCCCAGGAGUUCGAGACCAGCCUGGGCAAUAUGGUGAAGCCUCGUCUCUACAGAAAAAUUUAAAAAUUAGCUGGGCAUGGUGGAACGUGCCUGUGGUCCCAGCUCUCAGGAGGCUGAGGUGGGAGGAUCACCUGAGCCCAGGGAGGUUGAGGCUGCGGUGAGCUCUGAUCAUGCUAUUAUUGCACUCCAGCCUGGGUGACAGAGUAAGAUCCUGUCUCAAAAAAAAAAAAAAAAAAGAAAAAGAAAAAGAAAAAAGAAAAAAAGAAGAAAAAGAAAUCUUUGUGGAUGGAUUAUGAAAGGUGUUAACUGACCCCAUCUGCUCCUUCUCAUACUUCCCACAUCAGAACCAUUGUGUGCCCCCUCCCGACCUUCCCAAGCCUCCAAACCAAAUGAGAGUCCCAUUGACCAGCCUAAAGGGUUGCACCCCUAGCACCAGCCAUACUUCCUGAGAAGGCAGAGAGUAGAAGAGAAAGAGGAUGUACUGGGCUAAGGGGCUGUUGGGCAUAGGAAGACUCCUCAACGAGAAAGGGUAGGAGACAGAGGCUUGGGCAUUACCCUUCCCAUCAAUUAAAAAAAACUCCAAACAGCCACAGCACUCCCACACCCACAUGGUGUUUGGAUCAGAUUGUCUGGAUUGCUAGUGGAUUGUGCAAGCAAAGGGAUGCAGGGCAGGCAGGAGAGACCCUCAUUUUUAUAAGCCCCCGGGAGAGCUGGCAUCUUGCAUGCCACACCUGCCAAAGGGCUGCGCUGGGGGAAGAAAGCAGUGAUGUAAAGAUGCAGGGUGGGUGGGCUGGAUAGGGAGGUGGGGGUGUGGGAGGGGAUGGGGCCCAAGGACCAGAAAAGUCCAGGGAAUCAUUUCUAAUUCCACUGCCUCAGGAGACAAGUCUUUCAACUUCCUCCCUUCCUUCACAGCUGCUCCCCCACUUCACAGCCCCUGUCAUGUAGAAUCCCCAUUAGCCCUGACAUCCAGCAACUCCACCUGGGAGUGGGGGCAGCAGCAGAGUGGGGGACAGAGGAUUAGGGGAUCCACACAGCCCUUCCCUCAGGAGGAAGGGCUGGGCUGGAAGGGGCCUAGAGGCAGCUGCAAAGUGCUUGCUGCAGGUCCUCUGGGAGUCAGAUGCCUUCCCCGGCCAGGCCGCUCGGGUGACCGGGGUGAGAUAUCGAAGCUCAACAUCUUAGCACAUCAGCCUCAGCUGUGAGUUGCCUUCCUGGGCUUCUCGCAGCCUCCAGGCCUGGCUCUGGGUGAACACAUCGCUUCAUGGCCUGGACCCAUCAUUGCAGAUAAUCCACUUAGGCGGCUGUUUCUGUUCAGCAUUGGACUAUGCCCAUCCUUCAAGGCCUUGCCCUUGACUGACUACUGCAGCCCACUGGGUCCUCUCCCCACUGCUGUCCCACGGUACUACAGACUGGGACCCUAGAGGGAUGUCUCUCCCGUCAGAUGUCUUAGAGCUCUGCCUCUCCCCUGUUAAGCCAGCCUGAUCUUUUCUUCUAGGCUGUUUGGUUUGGACACAGCCAAAAUGGGGGCUGAGCAACAGAGGUGUCCUUGACUGCAAGCCGGUCCUUUUGUUUGUACACUGCCGCCCCUACCUCCGUGUGUCCCUUGCAUGGAGUGGCAAAACGAGGCCCAGAAAGUGGGCUAGUUUCUGGCAGGACGCACCACAGUUCAAGACGGUAUCCUGCAGCGCUCAGCGAUUAUGGCCCACUCUGCAACCCUGGGAUGUUCGCCUUGACCCUGGAGAGGGAAGCGGGUGCAUUGCCACAGGCAGAGGGCUGGAUCAGAAGACCCAAAGGGCGCUCCUUCCAUGGGCCUUCCAGAGACUUUGCAGACACUCCCUCCAGCUGCCCGGCCCACCCCCUCUCCAUUGUCUUAGCUGACACUUUGGGUUGCGCUCCGGACUUCUGGCUGGUGGAGCGCCUCCCUGCCCCCACCUCCCUACCGCCUUUUCUGUCAAAGGCUCAGCGGGGCCCCCGCGCGGCCCACUAAUUAGCGCUGGCCCAGCCACACCUGCAGCGUCCUGGGAGAGGGCUGAGACAGGCGCCCAUGCGUGAGGCCGGGAUGGGGGCAAGCCCGGGGCAGCAGGUCCCGCACCUCCUCCCUGAUCCCGCUGGAGGGAUUAGAGGAGGGAGGGCAGGGGCUGGAAGCUGAGGGCUCUUCAGCCCAAGACCCUGCUUGUUGGGACUCUCUCCGUGUAACUCCUUCCCCUUCCAGUUGAGGAAACCGAGGUGGGGAGGCAAAGACAGUGGUUUGGCACUCAAGCUCCUGGGGGAUCUUCAGGGAUCUGACCUGGCUUCAUCCCUCCAACCAGGCUGCCAGCUUGUCCUUCCUGACCUUUGCUCCUGCUGGGCACCUCCACCCUCCAAGCCCAACAUCUUCUGCCCAAACAGAUGAAGCUCCAGGAUACCUCCUCCCCAGCCGGGAGCCAAGGCCCUUGGGGAACCAUUCUAGCUCCACGGGAGGCACAGGGGACCCUUCUUUCCCAAGGUAGAUGUUGGCAGGGUCAGCUCCCCAGGCUGCCUCCACUCUUUCUAGUGUCUCCUCCUUUCUAGCCAAUCCUCUCUCAGCCACUGCAGUGAAAUCAGCCUUAAAGUCUCAGGCCUCUUUAGCCCACCUCCCCCGGGGGAGGGGAAUGCCUAAGUCACCUGGACUCACCUCCACCGUGGCCCAGCGAGCACUGGGGCCUCCCUGCCCUUAGGCACCCCCAGCUUUUCUCCCAGAGUUCUCCUGUCUGGGAGUGCUUACAGACCCAGGGUAGGAGGCCAGGCUGGGGAGGAGACAGGUGGAGAGGGACAGAGUGGCCCUGCCUCUGGCGUACUGAGGGUGCAGCCCUAAAUUUCCAAACCCUUGCCAGCCCUGCGCCUGUCCACAGGCCCCAGGGAGAACCACCCCCCUCAUCCCUCCCACUCCCAGAGCCUGAGGAGGAAGUGAGUGAGGCGGGGAGGGGAUUGGGAGACACUGUGGAUGAAGGGACACACCAAGGAAUCCCAGCCUUCCCCUGGGGGUGGGAGGGCAUCUGGGCUGGGCUGAGGCUGGCCCGGUGCAUCCUGUGAGGAUACUUGAUAGGCAGCAAAAGUAAAGGCGCUGGCAGGGAGCAGAGCCUAGAGGGGCUCCCCUGCACUGACCUUUGCUCUGGGUCCACUGUUGGGUUGUUUGGUGUGAACACAUUCUCCUGGGUGGAGGCCAUAUAGAGCCAGCAUCGAGGGAAGCAUGCAAACAUGGGGGGCGGGCACAGCCAUCCCUGGGUUCCAGCCUGGGUCAGAACCUCCAGGGCAUGUUGACUAUACAUAAGGGGCUGGGUGGGAAAGAGCUGGCUGGAGGUGGCUCCAGGCUUGGGCCAACCUGCCCAGAGGAGUGUGGGGUUAGAUGGUACCUAUAGGGUCCCUGGGUAUCAGGAGGUGGGGGCACUUUCCAGGAAGAAGGAAAGCAGAGCAUGAAGGUGCAGAUCACACACCACACUCAGCACCCAGCAACUCCCGGGUGCCUGCAGGGAGGAGGGACGGCCUGCAGGGAGUGGGGCUCAUCACAACAGACUGGCAAGAGUCACACAUGCCAGCUCAGGGCUCCAGGCCUGGGCUCUGGACCCAAGGGGGCCCAGUCACUGCAUAUUUCUGGGCCUUGGUGACCCUAGCUUUGGCCUAGGGAGUAUCCGGACCUCCUAUCCUCCCCCGAGCUCCAUGGGGCAGGGCCUACAGGCCUUGCUUGAGAAAUCUGACCCACCCCAUUCUCACCAUUUCUUCUUAGCUGGAAUGUGCUCCACCCUCAGCACCUGCCUCAGGCCUCAGGAGGUGCCCCACACCCCAGGGCUCUCCUCCCAUGCGCCCCCGGGCCCCUUUACUCUGAUUUCACCCCUCAGCUACCCUCUGAGUUCACUCCACCUCCUCUCCUGGCCUGGAUAGCAACAGAGGAACAGAGGGAGGUGGGGUGGCUGCAUCAGGCUCACUUCCCCUCACACCACACUCCCUGUUAGGAGCCUCUGGCUCUGCAUAGCUGUGGCGGGCCAUGCUGGUUUACUCCAGUGAGCCUCUGGCUCUGCAUAGCUGUGGCGGGCCAUGCUGGUUUACUCCAGUGAGCCUCUGGCUUUGCAUAGCUGUGGCGGGCCAUGCUGGUUUACUCCAGUGAGCAGGGCGGCCUGAGAAUUCACCAGGCCAGGGAGAGUGACCUUGGACAAGGAGAUGCAGGGGUUCCCUUUGGUCCUCUGGACCUUGCCCCAGACAUCUGGGCCACCCUUGCAGGACAGGCACAGGAGCCACAAGUAGGGCCUCCCCUCUGAAAUUGACAAGGGUACAUCCCAGCACCUGUAGACACUUCCAUGCCCCACACCUGGAUACGCAUUCUUAUCCCAGCUGUACACACACUCACCAUACUCAGAUAUGUGACACUGCCAGAACACAUACACAAGUGUUCUCUCCAUGAGUGCACAUGCACACACGUACAUCACACCUAAGUGCACACACACACACCUUUGCCCUGAGUGCAUAAGCAUGCAGUCACACAUUUCCUUACCCCAAGUGAAGGUGGGAGCACCCCCUAGGCACAUGCUCCUACCUGCUUAUGCACACAGGCACCCUCCUCAGAACACACAUACGACAUGCACCCAUUGAUGUGACGCACACGGGGCACCUAUUUCCUCAGGCUGAGAGCGCUGACACUCUGCACUGCCACACACACCACUCCAAGUACACUUAAUCACACCCCGCCUGACUCUGAGUGCUUGGGUGCACACUCCUCACACAGGCACGUUUACACAAGAGCAGGUGCACAGCACACCCCACUCUCAGGGGCAACUGGAAGCUAUCUCUGGACUUCGGGUGUUACAGCAGGAUUGGGCUGAUGACAGCUACUCCCCAGCCCUCUCUUCUGGGGUGGGCUGGGCUGGGGACCUGCAACCCUUCACCUGCAGAGGUGGCCUCUGGUCCAGGUGGCCCCACUGCGUCACUCUGCUGGACAGAGAGCCCUCCAGGUCUCCCCAGGUCUUGGGUCCUCCUCCUUUUCUGAGGCAAGAAGCGGGGCCCGGGAACCUGGCAGCCCACCCCAGCUCCCCACCCUGACCUCACCCGUCACGGUGGAGGGGCUACUCACUGACACGGGGGUGGGUGAUGUAGUUUCGGGUGACCGCCUGCAUGUGUUCUCGGGCUGCACCUAGGUUGCAGCUACUGCCGGGGAGCCCCCCAGGCCUGCUGUCUAUCUCCAUGGCCAUGGAGCAGUCCCCAGCUGGGAGCCCAGUGUCUGAGCCUGCUGCUGGUGGCAGCUCUGAGACUUCAGGUCCAGCUGGAGCUGGAGAGAGCUGCUCAGCCUUCCCCUGCAGCCACCCCUCCCCUCUCCCCCUCCCCUCCCUCUCCUCCUCCUCUAGGUUGACAGUAAACAAGGAAGCCUGGGGCUCUGGCUCCCAAGCUUUCCCCACACCAAGCUGUGCAGGUCUGGGAGGGGCCCCCGUCACCUGAGAGCUGGAGGAUGUGGAGGGAGAAGGGAAGAGGGGAGGGCUGGCUUUUUCCUUCUUCUGUGCUAGGCGGUUCCUCCCCGCCAACCCCAAACUGUAUGAAUUCAAUUCCUCCCCUGGACCAUCAGGUGCUGUCAACAUUCCCACACUCGUCCCUCACCACAGCUCUUUCUGGUCUCUCCACACCCAACUUCUGGCAGGCUGCCCUUUCUUCACUGUUCUCGCAACCUGACCUUACCCUGCACUCCUUGCCCUGACUAUACCUGGAUACUUCUGCCCCCUGACAAUUCCAUCGUCAUCUUUUUGAACAUCUGUAGAGAAUUAUUUCCUGGUCAGCCUCAGUGCCAUCUCCUACAUGAAGCCUUCUCUGGAUUCUCUAGCAGCCAAGAUUUACUACACAUCUAGCCUCUUUCCUAAGUCAUGCCCUUUAGGAGAGGCCUCUCUUGUCCCUGCCACUGGGCUGUGAGCCCCCAAAAGCUGAGCCUGUGUCUCAACCCACAGACCUGGGUCUCCUGAAGCCUGUCUGUCUCAUACUAUUGAGAGUUCUUGAGAAUGAGGGCUGGUCUCUCUCCAUCUGAUCAUAGAACCGUGUCUCAUCUUCUCACAUUCACCUCCAGAUUUCUAUACAGCAGGCCUGCCCUGACCUUUCCAGCCCAGGUCAGAAAGUAAAAUGGAGGUCCCUGUAUUGUAUAACUAAAUACCUGGAGUUAUAAAUCAAACUAUGUGCACAGCCUGGCCUGGGUUCCACCCAAGACCUCACCACUGCUUCCCAAGAACUCUCUCUUCAUGUCAUGAAACUAAGAGUUGUGGUUUCUCCUGGUGAGUGGAGUGUGGUACAGUUCCUCUGGGCAAGGCAGGGUGGACCCUGGGUGGUAGCUGGACCUGCCCAACCCAAGGUCUUCUAGUCACCCCCAUGCCUCAUUCUAGGCUCAGGAUUUCUGCAUUUCUAAGCUCCUCCCCAAACCAUACCACUGAGCAGAGGGAACGGCAGAAGUACAUUUGCCUAGGGAUCACUGUCCCCAAGCACCCACUCCAGGUGACUCAGGACAGCCAAUUUGAAACCAAAGCAGCAGCUACUAUGUUUCUCAGAGCAGACUGGAGGAGACUGUGCUUGUUAUUUCUCUUCACAGAGUCAAAAUCUUACCCCGCAUCCUCCCUCCUGAGGACCCAUUUCAGGUCUCUGGUUCCUAAUGCCCAUCCUUUCAAAGAACUCUCCUGUGGAGGGCGGGGGUGGGUGUGACCAUCAAGGAGCAGCAUGAGGAAGAUCUCUGUGGUGAUGGAACAGGUCUGCAUCUGGAUUGCAGCAGUGAGUCCAUGAAUCUAUAAAAUGACAUGGCACUAUGCACACACACGGUACCAAUGCCAAUUUCCUAGUUUUGAUAUUGUACUAUAGUUAGGGAAGAUGAAGCCUAUCUGUCUCAUACUAUUGAGUUCCUGCCAAUGGAAGGAACUUCUCUGUCCUAUCUCUGCAGCUUCCUGUAAAUCUAUA